rnacentral:rRNA from 1 species
UACGUAGGUGGCAAGCGUUGUCCGGAUUUACUGGGCGUAAAGAGCGCGCAGGCGGUCGGCCAAGUCGAGUGUGAAAGCCCCCGGCUCAACUGGGGAGGGUCAUUCGAUACUGGUCGACUCGAAGGCAGGAGAGGGAAGCGGAAUUCCCGGUGUAGUGGUGAAAUGCGUAGGUAUCGGGAGGAACACCAGUGGCGAAGGCGGCUUCCUGGCCUGUUCUUGACGCUGAGGCGCGAAAGCUAGGGGAGCAAACGGG